rnacentral:lncRNA from 10 species
GUAAAAUUGAAAACAGGAAGUGGAAAACAAGGUAGAAGUCCCUUCUUUUCUUCUGCUUUGUGAUCUCCUUCUAAUGCCUCAGAUUGGAAAACCUAACAGGAAGCCAGCUAGCUGGGAGGUGGAGAGAUUUCGUUUGCAUCAUCCCAACCCCAGGAUUACAGAGAAGAGCAUAGAAAGAUAUCUUGGAGAUCACAGAUAAAUCGCCAGCACAGACAACAUCAUGUCCAGUUAGGAGGCCAUGGCAGUAGCCCAGGAGAGAGAAGAUGAUGGCCCAGACAUUUGGUCAGGACACAAACCACAGUCAAAAAAGGUCUUCCUGAGUUCUGAAGGUCAAGCAAUUAGAAUUUUCUCAGGCUUGUAGAAGAGUGGAAUUCUGGAAACCAGUCUUCGCCUCAGGGGAGCAUCUGUUGGAAGUUCUUAGGUAA